rnacentral:rRNA from 1 species
UCAUAUGCUUGUCUCAAAGAUUAAGCCAUGCAUGUCUAAGUGCAUGCCGAAAAUAAAAGGCGAAACCGCGAAUGGCUCAUUAAAUCAGCCGCCGUUCAUUGGAUGUUUCUUUAUCCUACUCGGAUAACCGUGGUAAUUCUAGAGCUAAUACGUGCAAAAAAGCUCCGACCAUUCGUUUGGGACGAGCGCUUUUAUUAGAACAAGACCAAUAACGGAUUUCCUCUUUCUUUUCUCCCGUCGAUUCUUUUCGGAGGUUUUCGGGGAAAAUUUCGAGGUUCCGUUAAUCCCAAUUGGUGACUCUGGAUAACCAUGAGCCGAUCGCACGGUCUCGCACCGGCGACGAAUCUUUCAAAUGUCUGCCUUAUCAACUGUCGAUGGUAGGUUACGCGCCUACCAUGGUUGUAACGGGUAACGGGGAAUCAGGGUUCGAUUCCGGAGAGGGAGCCUGAGAAACGGCUACCACAUCCAAGGAAGGCAGCAGGCACGCAAAUUACCCACUCCCGGCACGGGGAGGUAGUGACGAAAAAUAACAAUACGGGACUCUUCCGAGGCCCCGUAAUUGGAAUGAGUACACUUUAAAUCCUUUAACGAGGAUCGAUUGGAGGGCAAGUCUGGUGCCAGCAGCCGCGGUAAUUCCAGCUCCAAUAGCGUAUAUUAAAGUUGUUGCGGUUAAAAAGCUCGUAGUUGGAUCUCGGUGCCGGACCGGCGGUCCGCUCUCUUUAAUUAGGGGCGGUUUUUACUGCCGGCUCCGGAGCCAACCCGACCGGUUCGUCCCUUGGUGCUCUUCGCCGAGUGUCUCGGGUGACCGGAACGUUUACUUUGAACAAAUUAGAGUGCUCCGAGCAGGCGUUCGCGCGCCCGCAUAACCCAGCAUGGAAUAAUGGAACAGGACCUCGGUUCUAUUCUGUUGGUUUUUUCGGAAUCCGAGGUAAUGAUUAAUAGGGACAGACGGGGGCAUUCGUAUUGCGACGCUAGAGGUGAAAUUCUUGGACCGUCGCAAGACGAACUACUGCGAAAGCAUUUGCCAAGAAUGUUUUCAUUAAUCAAGAACGAAAGUUAGAGGUUCGAAGGCGAUCAGAUACCGCCCUAGUUCUAACCAUAAACGAUGCCGACCAGCGAUCCGCCGGAGUUCCUCCGAUGACUCGGCGGGCAGCUUCCCGGGAAACCAAAGUGUUUGGGUUCCGGGGGAAGUAUGGUUGCAAAGCUGAAACUUAAAGGAAUUGACGGAAGGGCACCACCAGGAGUGGAGCCUGCGGCUUAAUUUGACUCAACACGGGAAAACUCACCCGGCCCGGACACCGGAAGGAUUGACAGAUUGAGAGCUCUUUCUUGAUUCGGUGGGUGGUGGUGCAUGGCCGUUCUUAGUUGGUGGAGCGAUUUGUCUGGUUAAUUCCGAUAACGAACGAGACUCUAGCCUGCUAAAUAGACGACCGAUCCCGGGGUGCCGGCGCCUUCCCGUCUUGCUUCCGUUUUCGCCCCUCUUUCGUGUCUCGUUUUUUUCGAUUCGGUCAUUCUCAACCGCCCGAACCUCGCGCGCGUUGUCUCUCGGCUUAGCCGCGGAUCGAGUUUUUUUUCCCUUGUCGGGAUACCGUUUUCUCGGUCGCCUUUUCUCUCUCUUUCGGGGGGGAGUUGGGGUUGUCCGUUUUUACGCGUUCUGACCGGGGGGGAGGGCUCUUUNUUUGGCGACGGUCGCGAACGACGUCGUGGGGGGCUGGGUGGGCGGAACCCGGAGCGGGAUCGGGACUUCGGAAGGGACGGCGGCGGUCGUCAAUCGUGCGGGUCGGCUGUCCGGCGUUGCCUCUGUCGGUCGAUCGCUUCUUAGAGGGACAAGCGGCGCUCAGCCGCACGAGAUUGAGCAAUAACAGGUCUGUGAUGCCCUUAGAUGUCCGGGGCCGCACGCGCGCUACACUGAAGGAAUCAACGCGCGUUAUCUCCCGGUCCGGAAGGAUCGGGUAACCCGUUGAACCUCCUUCGUGAUAGGGAUCGGGGCUUGAAAUUGUCCCCCGCGAACGAGGAAUUCCCAGUAAGCGCGAGUCAUAAGCUCGCGUUGAUUACGUCCCUGCCCUUUGUACACACCGCCCGUCGCUACUACCGAUUGAAUGAUUUAGUGAGGUCUUCGGACUGGCGGUCUCUGCGGCUUCUCUUUACGAGAGUCGCGGCGGCCCGCCGGGAAGAUGACCGAACUUGACCAUUUAGAGGAAGUAAAAGUCGUAACAAGGUUUUC